rnacentral:antisense_RNA from 1 species
UGAAAGGUUGACCUGGAUUAUCAAAAUCAAAAGGAUAAUCUCCACUAACUGUAUAACUUGUACCACUUAAUAAUACACCCGAACUUAAACAAUAUGAAUUACUUGACAAAGUUGCAAAAAAUCCAUUCAUUCUAUAAUAAAACUGACUCUGAUCGCUUGUAAAUACUGCUACUGUACCUCCCCAUCCGUAUCUUUUAUCAUUAACUGGAUACAUACUUGCUGAAUGUAGAUGUAUUUCUAGUUCUUCUGGCCAAGAUUUAUAAUUUUUUGGAAUUCUAUCACCAUUUGGUACUCCAGAUUUCUCAUCAAUUCCGGUACUAUUUACAUAAUACAAAUUUUUAUCAUCAAAAUAGUAUCUUUGUUGAAAUUCAUCCCAGAAAUAAGUCCUUCUAUAAGGAUCUGCCAAAGGAACAUUUCUUGUAAUUUUAUAUUUACUAAAGUUAUUUUGUCCAUUACCAAAAGUUAAUUUAUUCACAUUUGAAUACACUAUGCUAUGACAAGGAUAAUAUGGUCCACUUCCUGAAAUAUAAAAGUAAAACCCUCCUGGCCAUCUUAAUUUCUCAACUACCAAGUCAAGAUCCAUCAAUUUUGGCUUAUACGGAAAUGGAAAGUAAGCAUAAGAUCUAGCCCAUCUCUCUUCUGAAGUAUAUCCUGUAGAUUCCACAUCUACUGUUUGUGCUGCAAAAUUUAUCAUCAACUUACAGUGGUAUAAAUCACCAUUCUGAAUUGUUACCAAAGUUUCUUUAUCAUUUUCUGCGUUAAAUUUACCCACAAUCCUAAAAGAUACUCCAGAAUACCAAGGUAGCUUAUUUGAACUAAAUGUAUAUACUAACCCUUCACUGGUAAUAUCUUUCCAUGCUUUUGUCCAACUGAAACUUGGUGG